rnacentral:rRNA from 1 species
UACGUAGGGUGCAAGCGUUAAUCGGAAUUACUGGGCGUAAAGCGUGCGCAGGCGGUUUGCACAGUCAGGCGUGAAAUUCCUGGGCUUAACCUGGGGGCUGCGCUUGAUACGUGUGGACUGGAGUGCGGAAGAGGGUCGUGGAAUUCCCAGUGUAGAGGUGAAAUUCGUAGAUAUUGGGAAGAACACCGGUGGCGAAGGCGGCGACCUGGUCCGUGACUGACGCUGAGGCGCGAAAGCGUGGGGAGCAAACAGG